UGCAUUGUAUGGAGAAAUAACCACGGUUUUAAAGUUUAGUGGUUUUUUUUCAUGGAAAUUUGCUGUUUGUUGAUAGUGUUAGUGGCUCUAAAGCAUUGUGUAUGAUUGUCUUUGUGGCUCACGUGAUUCCAAAGCAGUUAACCAUUUCUACAUGUACCAGUAUUAAAUACAUAUCUUUACAACAUAAAGCCAUUCUGAAGAUAUCAGUUAUUUUCCUUGCCUAUUAAAAAAUUUCUUUAUUAGCAUUUUGGGGACAUACAUAUACUGCUGAAUGUGUAUGAGCCGACAUUUUUUCUCAAAAUGCACUCUAAAAAGUGGUAGUUGUAUUGAAAAGUAUUUUUUUCGGCUGGGUCAGGCUGAGCAUGAGAUGGGGUGGUACAGUUGAGCAAGUAUCAAACCCCAGCUGGUCUGUUUAAACCCAUGACAGGGAUGUAAAGCAGACUGUCUAUCUGCCAGAAGUGCCCAUGUCUCUCAAAAGCAUUCAAUAUGUGUUGAAGUACAAUGUAAAUGUCAAUCAACUAUGGAUGAAUAUAUACAGUAUAUCAGGUGUCAGAUCACCAUGUGUUGCAUAUGGAUGCUUGUACUGCUGCUUUGACUCUACAUGUACAUUUCCGAUUUAGAGCUAUGAUCACUAUCAACAGUAGCAGCAACAACAAUGCACCUGUGUUUUUAUUUAUUACUUAAGCUCUCCUCUGCAUAAGUGUUCUAAUGUUGAUUAGCUAGUUAAGAAAUAAAAUAACAGCUCUAGUCACUUGCUAUUUUAAUUUUUACAAGCAUUUAUUGCAUUACAUAAAGAAAAGUAAUUGUCUAAAAUGAGACUCACAUCUACUGCAAUCAGAUUAGAGCUAUUUUGUACAUGUGGAGGCAUGCUGUUUGUGUAUGUUUGUUCCAUCCUAUUUUGAUGUUUUCAUGUUCUUGUUUACUCUUGUCACCUUUUUUUCUUUGUACAAUUCUUUCUUGUUUCAUUCGUUACUUUAAAGCUGAUUUUUAUGUUUUGGAUUGAUUUAUAGUUUUAAACCAUGUAUUCCAACCUGUGGCAUCCUUUGCAGGAAAAUAAGCACUUAGUUGUUUGUCUCGUAUAGGUAUUUUAAGGUCUAUGACACAGAAGAUAGACAGGGUCUCCUAGAAGCCUACCACGAUCAGGCAAUAUUCUCCAUGUGUGUGAAUCCAGAAACAUUGCUGAAGGACCGCAGUGGUCACAGGGGCCCAUCUCUGGGAGAGUACCUGAAGAACAGCCGAAACAUGAAGCGAGUCACGGAAUUAGGUAAUUGAAAGAUUCUAUUUGGUUGUCUUGUUAUGAAAACCAUCUAACAAUAGGUUCAUGUUUCUGUCAUGAACACCAGUUUCUCAAUAAGUUACUUAGCUGAUCAUGUCAUCAGUAGGUGUUAAUUGGUUUUAAGUAUUAUUAUUUUGUACAUAACAGGA